AGGGCUCGCAGGCGGUUUCUUAAGUCUGAUGUGAAAGCCCCCGGCUCAACCGGGGAGGGUCAUUGGAAACUGGGGAACUUGAGUGCAGAAGAGGAGAGUGGAAUUCCACGUGUAGCGGUGAAAUGCGUAGAGAUGUGGAGGAACACCAGUGGCGAAGGCGACUCUCUGGUCUGUAACUGACGCUGAGGAGCGAAAGCGUGGGGAGCGAACAGGAUUAGAUACCCUGGUAGUCCACGCCGUAAACGAUGAGUGCUAAGUGUUAGGGGGUUUCCGCCCCUUAGUGCUGCAGCUAACGCAUUAAGCACUCCGCCUGGGGAGUACGGUCGCAAGACUGAAACUCAAAGGAAUUGACGGGGGCCCGCACAAGCGGUGGAGCAUGUGGUUUAAUUCGAAGCAACGCGAAGAACCUUACCAGGUCUUGACAUCCUCUGACAAUCCUAGAGAUAGGACGUCCCCUUCGGGGGCAGAGUGACAGGUGGUGCAUGGUUGUCGUCAGCUCGUGUCGUGAGAUGUUGGGUUAAGUCCCGCAACGAGCGCAACCCUUGAUCUUAGUCAGCAUUCAGUUGGGCACUCUAAGGUGACUGCCGGUGACAAACCGGAGGAAGGUGGGGAUGACGUCAAAUCAUCAUGCCCCUUAUGACCUGGGCUACACACGUGCUACAAUGGACAGAACAAAGGGCAGCGAAACCGCGAGGUUAAGCCAAUCCCACAAAUCUGUUCUCAGUUCGGAUCGCAGUCUGCAACUCGACUGCGUGAAGCUGGAAUCGCUA
rnacentral:rRNA from 1 species